rnacentral:lncRNA from 1 species
AAAGAACAGGGAGAAACAGCUCUUCUGAAGUGCACGCUCACCCCUCUGACCAGUGGUGCUGAGCAAACACCAUGACACAAGAAGCGUCUGCCUUCAUGCUCCCUGACAAGCUUCCAUCUGACCUUUUGCCGGUGAUCGUGAGCAACACUGACAUCUCUGCCUCAGGGCUGGGGACUGAUGUUAUAAAGAGAGAAACAGAGACAUGAAAAUCUGAAUGGACCCACAGUUUCUUCUUGCUUUCCAUGUCCAUUCCCUCAAGGAGGAGAGGUGAGCAAAUGACACAUGCUAAGCUCCAGCUGACCUCAGCAACGUCCAUAGCAAACACUGCGAAGUCAAAAGCAGUCUUUCCUAGGCACUGACCUCUCCAGGCAAGCGUGAAAAAUGAUGGCAUGCCAAAAUUCAAGAAUUCAGUGUGACCUAACUACAUAAUCAAUUGCACAGAAAACUAAUUAUUUGGCCAAACUCACUGCAGCUCUGAAGAGGCUGAAUCUGAGGUUCCACAGGCCUGAGUGACAAAGACCACUUGUUGAACUUACAUAAAUGACAAAUCACACAACAGUUGUGCAGUUUUAAUCUUUAUUUCCUAAAGACUGUGGUGCAAGUAACAUACCUGUAGAUUAGCUUGCAGAUUCUCCUGACCACUUGAAUGCCACCAUGUUGAGGCUGUACCUACAGCAAGCCUCCCCUUAAAGUCUAAAAACACAGGCAGCAAUUCUCAUGGGUUCUGGUUUUAUGAAUGGUGCCACAUUGUAUGCUUAAGGUAGCCAGAAUGGUGAAAGAUUGUAACAGUAUGAUUUGUGACAAUGACUGUACUUCUGAAGAUUAUCCUUUCUGGUAGAAGUGUAUUUCCACAUCAGAUUAAAUAUUCACUCAGAGAAGAUACAGUUACUUUAAAUGAGGGUAGUCACGAUACUAAAGAUUUAAACAAUCUUUCUAUUCAAAAAACAGGUCACUUCGAGCAAACUUUGUGGGGAGGCAACAAAGAGUAAUCUAGGAGACAAAGAGGUUCCAAAGUGCAAUCUGUGUAUUUCAACAUCACUUGUACCUAUAGGGAAAACUAAGAGACCAACAAAGACCCCUUGCAAGAACCCCUUGACUGAACAGUGCAGGUGCAAUGUUGGAUUUAAUGUGUAUGAGAAUCCUGAGAGUAGGCAAGAACUUCAUGGAAAUUGUAUGAAUAUUCACACGUUAAAUGCAUACAGUGAGGGUGAUUUAGCUCUGGGGUGUGCAUGCUUUGUGGAAGGAUCCCCAUGCACACAGCGCAGCAAUAAACCAAUGUUGUCUUUCUAAACUAUAAUUUGGUUUGGAGAGUUUUCUUAGUAACGUUUUUCUGUAACGUUCAUUUAAAAAUUAAAAAUAAGUUACUUUCUGGAGUCUGGACCAUAUCUGAUCUGAACAAUUCUUUCAACACCUCAUAUGGGUUAGCCCUCAGUGUGCAACAAUGGAAACUCAGUCACUGUAUAGACUUCUCUGAGCAUCCGCACCGCCGCCUGUGUGCUGUGUGGAGCAGCUGUAAUACUUGAUGCUAAACAAGACCUUUAGCUCUCUUACAGCAUUGUACAGAGCUUAACAGCUCCUAUAUGACACAGAUAAGCAAAACCCCAAUUUUAUGAUAGGGAGACUGCAUGGAUUAAACUAUGUACUAAGGUCAACAACAGAGCCAGGUUCAGAACAUGCUUCCAGGAUUGUGCUGCAUUUGUUCCAUGAGUGCUUCAAUCAAGGUGUAGUGGUAAGACCAACCCAGUGGCAGCCCUUUAAGUGGUGCUCCUGUGUUUGCUUGCAGCAUUUCCAAUCACAAAUACUAACACUAUCUUCAGCAGAAGCAGGUGCCUCAGAUUUCUGCACACAAAAUGUAGUAGGACAUGCAUCCAUACAGCCUCAUCUGUGACUCAGUGAAAACAAACUUUUCAGGGGGAAAAUUUGAGCAGAGAUUCUGUUUUACACACCAAUAUCAUACCUGUUACCAAAGGGUUAAGGACAACAAGCAGUGUAAGGGCAGCCGGCACCAAGUAGACAACCUGUUAAUCAAACACAAACUUAGCAAGCUAAGGAAGCAGAAGUAGUCACCCAUAGCAGCACUUCUCUACAACAUUUUAUGAGAUGCACCAAACAGCUGCACAGCUCUCUCCCUGGUACUGCUAGUGCUUCUCUGUGCGCAGAAGAAACCCAGUGCUCUCCACCUGCCACCCAAAAUCCUUGUGUGGCACAGCUGUGAGACCGUCAGCUGAGCACCAGCCCUUGUGCC